GGCCCUACGGGGGGCAGCAGUGGGGAAUAUUGCACAAUGGGGGAAACCCUGAUGCAGCGACGCCGCGUGAGCGAAGAAGUAUUUCGGUAUGUAAAGCUCUAUCAGCAGGGAAGAAAAUGACGGUACCUGACUAAGAAGCCCCGGCUAAAUACGUGCCAGCAGCCGCGGUAAUACGUAGGGGGCAAGCGUUAUCCGGAUUCAUUGGGCGUAAAGCGCGCGCAGGCGGGCCGCUAAGC
rnacentral:rRNA from 1 species